AAGUCGUAACAAGGUUUCCGUAGGUGAUAGGUUUGCCUACCGAUGCCCUUGGCCAGUGACUCUAAACAAUUCGGCCAUAGUCGCCCCCCCGGGGGCUGGCGACGCCAUCAAUCUGUGCCUGGCAGUACUCUUUCGGGGGUAUCACCAGCAGCUCCGUUGCCCUGCGGCAUUUGAGUUCACAGAUCAAACGAUAGCGGCCACUUCGGUGGUUGAGAUAUGAUCGGCCUCCAGUUGUUACCCAGCUGGCGAGAUGUAGCGGAACCUGCGGAAGG
rnacentral:misc_RNA from 1 species